ACAGUCACACAUUAGAUACCCGCGUAGUCCCAGCCCUAAACGAUGCGCGUUAGGUGUAUCGGUAACCACGAGUCACCGAGGUGCCGAAGGGAAACCGUGAAACGUGCCGCCUGGGAAGUACGGUCGCAAGGCUGAAACUUAAGGAAUUGGCGGGGAGCACCACAACGGGUGGAGCCUGCGGUUUAAUUGGACUCAACGCCGGGAAGCUCACCGGAUAAGACAGCGGAAUGAUUGCCGGGCUGAAGACCCUGCAUGACCAGCCG
rnacentral:rRNA from 1 species